CGUGGGAACCUACCUUUUAGUUCGGGAUAACGUUUGGAAACGAACGCUAAUACCGUAUACGCCCUCCGGGGGAAAGGUCAGCCGCUGAAAGAGGGGCCCGCGUCUGAUUAGCUUGUUGGUAAGGUAAUGGCUUACCAAGGCUACGAUCAGUAGCUGGUCUGAGAGGAUGAUCAGCCACACUGGGACUGAGACACGGCCCAGACUCCUACGGGAGGCAGCAGUGGGGAAUAUUGGACAAUGGAGGCAACUCUGAUCCAGCAAUGCCGCGUGUGUGAUGAAGGCCCUAGGGUUGUAAAGCACUUUCAACGGUGAAGAUGAUGACGGU
rnacentral:rRNA from 1 species